ACGGGUGAGUAAUGUCUGGGAAACUGCCCGAUGGAGGGGGAUAACUACUGGAAACGGUAGCUAAUACCGCAUAACGUCUUCGGACCAAAGUGGGGGACCUUCGGGCCUCACACCAUCGGAUGUGCCCAGAUGGGAUUAGCUAGUAGGUGGGGUAACGGCCCACCUAGGCGACGAUCCCUAGCUGGUCUGAGAGGAUGACCAGCCACACUGGAACUGAGACACGGUCCAGACUCCUACGGGAGGCAGCAGUGGGGAAUAUUGCACAAUGGGCGCAAGCCUGAUGCAGCCAUGCCGCGUGUAUGAAGAAGGCCUUCGGGUUGUAAAGUACUUUCAGUGGGGAGGAAGGCGAUGGAGUUAAUAGCUUCGUCGAUUGACGUUACCCGCAGAAGAAGCACCGGCUAACUCCGUGCCAGCAGCCGCGGUAAUACGGAGGGUGCAAGCGUUAAUCGGAAUUACUGGGCGUAAAGCGCACGCAGGCGGUCUGUCAAGUCGGAUGUGAAAUCCCCGGGCUCAACCUGGGAACUGCAUUCGAAACUGGCAGGCUAGAGUCUUGUAGAGGGGGGUAGAAUUCCAGGUGUAGCGG
rnacentral:rRNA from 1 species